UUUUUAUAUUCCACAUUUAAGUGAAAUCAUAUGGUAUUUGUCUUUUAUUUAUUUCACUUAGCUUAAUACCCUCUUUGUCCAACCGUAUUGUCCAAAUGGCAAGAUUUCCUUCUUUUCUAUGGCUGGAUAAUAUUUCAUUGUUUAUAUAUACCAUAUCUUCCUUAUCCAUUCAUCCAUUGACAAAUAUGUAGGUUGCUUCUAUAUCUUGGCUAUUAUAAUAUCCUGCAAUGAAUAUACGGUGUAUAUAACUAUUCAAAUAAUGUUUUUAUUUUCCUUCAGUAAUACCCAGAAGUGAAAUUGAUAAAUUAUAUGGUAUUUCUAUUUUUUUAAUUUUGAGGGACCUCCAUAGUGGCUGCACCAAUUUACAAUUCCUCUAAGAGUGCACAAGUGUUACCUUAUCUCCAUGUCCUCACCAACCCUUAUUUUCUGUCUUUUUAAUGAUAUCCAUUCUGACAAAUGAAUAUUCUUGCUUCCUUUGUCAUAUAUUAAUUGACCAUAUAAGUGUGGGUUUAUUUCUGUGCUCUCUAUUCUGUUGUAUUGACCUAUGUCUCUAUUUUGUGCCUGUACCAUACUGUUUUGAUUACUGUAGCUUUGCAGUAUAGUUUGAAAUCAGGGAACAUGAUGCCUCCAGCUUUGUUCUUCUUUUUCAAGAUUAUUUUGGCUAUUCGAGGCCUUUUGUAUUUCCAUAUAAAUUUUAGAAUUAUUUGUUCUAGUUCUGUAAAAAUGCCAUUGAUAUUUUGAUAAGGAUUGCAUUGACUCUGUAGAUCGCCUUAAGGAGUAUGGUCAUUUUAACAAUAUUAUUUCUUCCAAUCAAUGAGCACAAAAAUACCUCUCUUUUUGUUUGUGUCCUCUUCAAUUUCUUUCAUCAGUGGACAUAGCUUUCUAAGUACAAGAUGCUUAACUCCUUGACUAGAUUUAUUCCUUGGAAUUUUAUUCUUUUGAUACAAUUGUAAAUGGGAUUUUUUUUCUUAACAGAUUUCUGUAUAUUAAUUUCAUAUCCUGCAAGUUAUUGAAUUCAUUUAUUAGUUCCAAUAGAUCUUUGACAGAGUCUCUCAGGUUUUCUAUAGUAGUAUCAUGUCACCUGCAAAUAGUGACAGUUUUACUUCUUCCCUUCCAAUAUGGAUUCCAUUUAUUUAUUUUUCUUGUCCGAUUGCUGUACUAGGACUUCCAAUACAUAUCGAAGACGAGUGGCCAGAAUGGGCAUCCUUGUCUUGUUCUUGAUCCUAGAGGCAAUGCUUUUAUUUAUUUUUUUAUUUUCACUUUUUAAAAAAUUUUAUUAUAGUUGAUUUACAAUGUUUCUGCUGUACAGCAGUGACCCAGUUGUAGAUAUAUAUACAUUAUUAUUCUCACAUUAUCCUCCAUCAUGUUACUUAACAAGGGAUUAGAUAUAGUUUCCUGUACUAUACAGCAGGACCUCAUUUCUUAUCCACUCCAAAUGCAAUAGUUUGCAUUUACUAACCCAAAACUCCCAGUCUAUCUCACUCCCUCCUGCUCCCCCUUGGCAACCACAAGUCUGUUCUCCAUGUCCAUGAGUUUUUUUCUUUUCUGUAGAUAGAUUCAUUUGUUCUACAUAUUAAAUUCCAGAUAUGGGUGAUAACAUACGGUAUUUGUCAUUCUUUUUCUGACUCACUUCACUUAGUAUGAGAGUUUCUAGUUUCAUCCAUGUUGCUGCAAAUGGCAAGAGGCAAUGCUUUUAAAUUUUCACUUUUGAGUAUGUUAGCUGUGGGUUUGUCAUAAGCAGCCUUUAUAAUGUCGAGAUAUAUUCCCUUUACACCUGUUUUGUUGAGAGAUUUUUUUAAUCAAGAAUGGAUAUUCAAUUUUGUUAAAACUAUUUCUGCAUCUAUUGAGAUGAUCAUGGGAUUUUUGUCUUUUGUUUUGGUAAUGUGGAGUAACACAUUGAUUGACUGGUGAAUACUGAAUCAUCCUUGCAUCCCUGGGAGAAAACUCACUUGAUAACAUUGUGUAAUCCUUUCAAUGUAUUGUUAAAUUCAGUUUGCUUGCCAUCUUGUUGAGGAUUUUUACAUUUAGGUUCAUCAGAGUUAUUGUAAUUUUCUUUCUUUUUUGUGUGUGGUAUCUUUGGUUUGGAUUUCAGGGUCAUGCUGGCCUCAUGAAAUGAGUUCAGAAGCAUUUCUUCUUCUUCAAUAUUUUUGUAAGACUUUCACAAGGAUUGGUGUUAACUUUCUCUAGAUGUUUAAUGGAAUUCACCUGUGAAUCUGUCUGUCAGGAGUUUUUUGCUUACUGAUCCAUUUUCAUUACUGAUAAUCAUAUUUCUGUCCAUAUUUUCUAUUUCUUCCCUAUUCAGUCUUGGAGAUUUUACAUUUCUAGGAAUUUAUCCAUUUCUUGUUCUUUCUGUUCUGCUUCAGUGAUUUCCCAGUGCAGGACCUCUAGGCUGGGGAACCUAAUGUGGGACUCAGACCUCUCACUUCUGGAGGAGAACUUCUGAAGUUGUAUACCCAAGCAAAACAAAAAUGCAGUCUUCCAGCUUGCUGAUCCAUACUUCUGUAUCAUCUAAUCCAUUACUGAUUCCUUAUGAUGUAUUUUUUAUUCAUUUAUUUAUUUAUUUUAUAGAAACCACCUUGGAGUUUUAUUGUCCAUCAUCAUGUUAAUACAAAAAUCUACAUUUGUAGAGAAUAAAUGAAUGGCAAAUAUGAGGCAACAGAAAUAAGUUAAAAUUGAAUUUAUUUUCCAUGAUAGUGGGAUGAAUACCAUUUCAAAGCACGUGGGUCUGGCUUCAGAGUAGGUUUUUGUUCACCAGCAAAGCCUGCCACAAAGUCAAGGUGUCUAGCGCCUUGUCUGCCUACUGGCUUUUGAUGAAAGCUCUGUGGUCCUUGAGAAAAGUAAUGUACUCCUGAUGCUCCAGGGCUGUGCUGAGCUCCACCAACUCGUCAGCAAAAGUGUUGUCCACAAGGAAAUCCAUUAGGUGGUCAUAGAAGCCCCAGUCCAGCAAGUCUGUGCUGAGUGUGUAAUUGUGUCCUUCCAGUCAGAAUCAUCUGUGGAUUGAAAGCUCACUUCCUUGAUAGAGAAAAUGUCACUCUGCACCUUGUCUUCUUGUCCAAUCUCAUCUUCUGGAUAGUGACUGUCCAGCACAAGGGCCUUCUUGCUACCAUCCUUUAUUACUUCAACCAUGAAGCUGGGAGUGGACGUCAGUUCAGGCUCCUGUUCUUCAACUUUCUGCACUUCCGAGGGCUCCUCCUCCUCCCCAUAGAGGGGUGGGACGCUAUUGUUAAUGCUGAAGGUGCUUUUCUCCAGCAACUUUCCUCACUAAUUUGGCUUCUGUCCCAUUCACUUCCAGUUCCCAACCCCAGACAUCUUGGGGAGAGACUAGGCUUCUAUAUCUUCUUCUCUUCCUUAAUCUCAUCACCAAGGAAUUCAACAAAAGCUUUGUCCCUUCGGUGUGCAGCCCGCCGCAGCCGCAGCCACAGCAACAGCCACAGGCGCAGGGCCCCCGAGGCCGCAGGAAGCUGGGAGGCUGCACUGACCCGUGCACAAAGGGCCAGGCGCAGGGACGGGGCGGAGGCUGCAGCAGCCGGGAAGCGGCUGGGAGGGCAUGGCGAUCCAGAGGCCAGCGAUACCAGUGCUCAGGGCACGAGGCAGGCAGCGCUGCAGUUGCAGCAUUUGGGCAGCGGAGGACACGUGUGGAUGCGAAAGACACUCACGUCAGGAAGGACGACCUUAUUCAUGUAUUAUAUCUUUCAGCUCUGUUUGGUUCUUGUUUAUGUUUGCUAAAAUUCUCACAGUGUUCAUCCAUUCUUCUCUCAAAUUCAUAGAGCACCUUUAUCAACAUUACCUUGAACUCUUUUUGGGGUAAAUUGCUUAACUCUACUUCACUUAGUUCUUCUUCUGAGGUUUCAGCUUGUUCCUUUACUUGGAACGUAUUCCUCAGUCACCUCAUUCUGUCUAAUUAUCUGUUUUGUCUCUAUUUAUUAGGUAUUUCAGUUACAUUUUCUGAUCUUGGAGAAGCAGGCUUAUUUAGGAGACAUCUAAUGGGCUCAAAAGCACACACCUCUCUGGCCGCCGGAAAUAUAUGUUCUAGGUGUCGCCCCAUGUGUCCUCUGUAGACCAUUUUGUUGUGGGGUAGCCAACUACUGUGGACACAUUGGUAGAUUGGGCUGAUCCUCAGCCCAGUUUUCUGUCAGGCCUUCCUCUUGUGGAAGCUGCUAGUCCAUUUUUAGGUAGGGCUGAGUUCCAGGGCAGCUGGCUGCAGGAAACUGGGGACCUGGGCUAGUGGGUGGGGCUAGAUCCUGGGCCUGCUGGUUGGUGGGUAAGCCCCCAGCAGUAAUAGGCUAGGCAGAGGACUCCAGAAUGGCACUUGCUAUACCAGUGUCCUUAGGGUAGGAUGAGCUCCUAAGAAUGUCUGCCACCAGCAUCUAUGUCCCCAGGGGAAAUCCCAGUUACCUCCUGCCUCUCUAAGAUCAAUGAGUAUGACCCAGGGAUCCUUUCAAAUUACUGUCUCUGCACCAGGACAUGCAAUUUUUAUGUGAGUCCUUUGAGAAUGGAGUCUCUAUUUUAUACAGCCCUCUAGCUCUCCUGUAUGCAAGCUCCACUGGCCAUCAAAGCUAUAUGUUCUGGGAGCUUGUCUUCCCAGUGCAGGACCCUCAGGCUGGGGAUCCCAACAUGGAACUCGGACCCCUCACUUCUGGAGAAGAAUGUCUGUAACAGCAUUAUCCUCCCAUUCAUGUGUCACCGACCUAGAGGUAUGGGUUUUGACUAUACUUUGUCUCUGCCUCUCUUACCUGUCUGGUUUGGUUCCUUCAUUAUAUCUUUGUGGAGUUGUGGAAGAUCUUUCCCACCAGUCUUCUGGUUUUUCUCAUCAAUAGUUUCUCUGUUAAUAGUCAUAAUUUUGGUGUUUAUAGGGGAUAAGUCUCCUUCAUCUUGGCCACACCUCUCUUCUCUGAGCUUGGAUGCCAUACAUGUUGAGUGUAACAACAAGAGCUCUGUGUCAGAGUUACCUGGUGGCUCAGAAGUUUAAGUAUCCAGCAUUGUCACUACAGUGACUGUGGUGGCUACUUUGGCAUGGGUUCGAUUCCUGGCCUGGGAACUU
rnacentral:lncRNA from 1 species